rnacentral:rRNA from 1 species
UACAGAGGUCCCGAGCGUUGUUCGGAUUCACUGGGCGUAAAGGGCGCGUAGGCGGCCAUUCAAGUCGGAGGUGAAAGCCCAGGGCUCAACCCUGGAAUUGCCCUCGAUACUGUUUGGCUAGAGACCGGAAGAGGUAGGUGGAACUGCGAGUGUAGAGGUGAAAUUCGUAGAUAUUCGCAAGAACACCAGUGGCGAAGGCGGCUUACUGGUCCGGUUCUGACGCUGAGGCGCGAAAGCGUGGGGAGCAAACAGG